UGCACACACCACACAAACGGGGCUGGCAAAGGGAGCACGCACGGCAGCGGACCUUGAACCCUUGUGCAAAUUUACCAGGGGAUGUGGAAAAACAAACACCGAGGAGCCCGGAGAGAGCGGUGGUGGUGGUUAAAGCUACCUCUGAAUAGCAAUUUUCAAAUAGAGUUGGUAAUGAAUUUUGCAGCCAAAUGCUUUUGAUCAGUGCCCCUCUCAGGACUGGAUUUCACACCUCGUCACAGUCUGAAGCUGCACAAGAAAUCCUGGCUGGGAGAGCCACCACUUCCCUGAGCUCUCUCUUAGUGUGGGAAACCUUUCUACUGAGCCUCAAGUCCUACUCUUAAAGGAGUGGCAGAGAAAACAGGAUCAAGCCCAGAUUUCCAUUUCUACACAUAUUUGAAGAGCCAACACUAUUUCUGCAGGAAGAAAUGGCUAAACUUCCCAUUGUCUUUAAAAAGGCAAAGAAUGAAAGUAUCAGUCAAAUAUAUUUAAUUUGAUGGUAAAAGUCAGCAAUCAGUUGGUGUUACAUAAGUUGUGUCCCCAUACAGUUGAGAAACUCAACCCAGCCCGCCCUUUCCUGCCAAAGUGGAGCUUGGAGGCCCCAAGAAUCUCUUCUGCAGUAGUACUUCAGCAGUAAUCCCAAGGAGCAUGUUCAGACUUUCAGUUUUCUAUCAGAGUACCUACCUUCUCAGAGGCUGGCUUUCUUCUGUACCAGAUGCUGUACAAACACAGCACUUGAUCUUGUGUGCUCCAGUGACAGAUGGACAGCAAUGGCAAUACUGUCUGACAUUUCCGUUUGUAAACCAUAACUUGGCUGGCUCCAUGAUUUGAGUGUCAAAAGGAGGCCUUUGCAAGGCCCAUAGUGGCCAUGGCUUAGUGGGAUGAUGAGUAAGCAAUCCAAGAAGUGGAUUACUUCUUGGCCGUCAGCGCGCUGUGAUUUGCUUAUUAUCUUGCUUGCUAUAAUUAAUAAAACUUUUCUUUAAUUAAAUUUUAACA
rnacentral:lncRNA from 1 species